GACCUGGCUCAGGAUGAACGCUAGCUACAGGCUUAACACAUGCAAGUCGAGGGGCAGCAUGGUCUUAGCUUGCUAAGGCUGAUGGCGACCGGCGCACGGGUGAGUAACACGUAUCCAACCUGCCGUCUACUCUUGGCCAGCCUUCUGAAAGGAAGAUUAAUCCAGGAUGGGAUCAUGAGUUCACAUGUCCGCAUGAUUAAAGGUAUUUUCUGGUAGACGAUGGGGA
rnacentral:rRNA from 1 species